AUGCAAGCUAAUUCGAUGAACGCGGAGGCGCUGAAAUCAGUUUUGGAUUCUUAUUGUGCUGCUUCGGGGCAAAUGGUGAGUGUUGAAAAAUCUAGUAUAUUUUUUAGUCCCAACACGAAAGUGGAAGAUAAGGCGCAUAUAUGUACUAUUCUGAAUAUUAUGACUGAAGCUCUCAAUGACAAAUAUUUGGGUCUGCCUUCAAAUGUGGGUAUGGACAAAAGUGAUUGUUUCCAAUUCUUAAUAGAUCGAAUUGUCAUGAAAAUUAGUGGUUGGAAGGAAAAGCUGCUAUCAGCAGGAGGAAAGGAAAUCCUUCUCAAAUCGGUUGUACAAGCUAUCCCAACUUAUGCAAUGUCCGUCUUUAAAUUCCUAAAAAAAAUAUGUAAAGAAAUCAUUGACGCGAUGUCGCACUUUUGGUGGGGUGAUGAAGACAAUCAGAAGAGAAUGCAUUGGAUGGCAUGGUGGAAGAUGUGUGUACCAAAAGACCAAGGAGGAAUGGGUUUUCGAGACAUACAUUGUUUCAAUCUGGCCUUGUUAGCCAAACAAGCGUGGCACCUGCUUGAUAAUCCUGAUUCCCUAUGUGCCACCAUUUUGAGAGCUAAAUAUUUUCCGGAUGGAGAUUUAAUGAAUGCGAGUCUGAAAAAGGAUCUUCUUUCACUUGGCAAAGCAUUAUGGCCAGAGUGGAUUCUCUCAAAAAAGGUUAUAUUUGGAGAGUUGGUAAUGGACAAAAUAUUGAUAUUUGGAGAGAUGCAUGGAUCCCGAAUGGGGCCAAUAGAAAAAUUAUCACUCCUAGAAGAGGGCAGCUUCUAA
rnacentral:rRNA from 1 species